UACGUAGGGUGCAAGCGUUGUCCGGAAUUAUUGGGCGUAAAGAGCUCGUAGGCGGUCUGUCACGUCGGCUGUGAAAACCUGGGGCUCAACUCCGGGCCUGCAGCCGAUACGGGCAGACUAGAGUUCGGCAGGGGAGACUGGAAUUCCUGGUGUAGCGGUGAAAUGCGCAGAUAUCAGGAGGAACACCGGUGGCGUAGGUGGGUCUCUGGGCCGAUACUGACGCUGAGGAGCGAAAGCGUGGGGAGCAAACAGG
rnacentral:rRNA from 1 species